AGCGGUAACAGGAAUUAGCUUGCUAAUUUGCUGACGAGCGGCGGACGGGUGAGUAAUGCCUAGGGAACUGCCCAGUCGAGGGGGAUAACAGUUGGAAACGACUGCUAAUACCGCAUACGCCCUACGGGGGAAAAGAGGGGACCUUCGGGCCUUCUGCGAUUGGAUGUACCUAGGUGGGAUUAGCUAGUUGGUGAGGUAAUGGCUCACCAAGGCGACGAUCCCUAGCUGUUCUGAGAGGAUGAUCAGCCACACUGGGACUGAGACACGGCCCAGACUCCUACGGGAGGCAGCAGUGGGGAAUAUUGCACAAUGGGCGCAAGCCUGAUGCAGCCAUGCCGCGUGUGUGAAGAAGGCCUUCGGGUUGUAAAGCACUUUCAGCGAGGAGGAAACUUAAGCGUUAAUAGCGUUUAGGUGUGACGUUACUCG
rnacentral:rRNA from 1 species